rnacentral:tRNA from 1 species
GUGAGCGUAGCUCAGCUGGUAGAGCUCCGGAUUGUGGAUCCGGCGGUCGUGGGUUCGAGUCCCAUCGCUCACCCCA